GAAGAUCUCAAAUUCAUAAUUCAGCUUUUUUUAAGCUUGAGAUGGACAAGUCGAGUCACAAAAAGCAUAUCGAUAAUGUUAUGAAAAAUAUAUAUUUGGUACUUACUACGACCGUCUAAUAAAAAAAUGAAAAAUAGUUUGAAGUUUCCAUAGGGACUAAGGGGGUGGGAAAAGGAGGAAAGCGGGUGGGGGCCCGAAACCCGAA
rnacentral:lncRNA from 1 species